rnacentral:rRNA from 1 species
GUUGUGUAUGGUUUCCUACCUCGUGCACCUAUUGAUUUGUUGCCUCUUCCAUCUUCGGAGAAGGUUAAUUUUGAUGCUAAACAACGUGCUGAAUUGAUUUUAAAAAUGCAUGAGUUAACUAAGGAAAACAUUGAGCGUAUGAAUGCUAAAUAUAAACUUGCUGGAGAUAAGGGUAGAAAACAUGUUGAGUUUGCACCUGGAGAUCUUGUUUGGUUACAUUUGCGUAAGGAUAGAUUUCCUGAUUUGCGCAAAUCAAAGUUAAUGCCACGUGCUGAUGGUCCCUUUAAGGUGUUAGAGAAAAUAAAUGAUAAUGCAUAUAAACUUGAGCUGCCUGCAGAUUUUGGGGUUAGUCCCACUUUUAACAUUGCAGAUUUGAAGCCUUAUUUGGGUGAGGAAGAUGAACUUCCGUCGAGGACGACUUCAUUUCAAGAAGGGGAGGAUGAUGAGGACAUCAAUACAAUUGUU